CCAAGGACAUCACGUAAUGCUAAAAGUUUUCAAACAAACAUGCAUCAUUGGCUUAUUUUACAAAUAAAAUUUUCAACCACUUAAUAAUGUGGUGUAUACUUAAUUUAAGAUCAACAUACAUGUAUUGUGGUACUUGGAGCAAGCAGUCGGGACUUGAACGGCAAGACAAAUUAAAGCAAGCUGGCAAGACCAAAGUAAACUGGCAAGAUCAACAAGAGCAAGCUGCUUGUGAACAGUUAGAGUCUUGCAUUUCUUCCUCCUAUAAGAAAUACUUAUUAUACUUCAAACGAUCCAAGAGACGUAGAGUUUUGAAACACUUGAUG
rnacentral:lncRNA from 1 species